GAUGAACGCUGGCGGCGUGCCUAAUACAUGCAAGUCGAGCUAACAGACGAGGAGCUUGCUCCUCUGACGUUAGCGGCGGACGGGUGAGUAACACGUGGAUAACCUACCUAUAAGACUGGGAUAACUUCGGGAAACCGGAGCUAAUACCGGAUAAUAUAUUGAACCGCAUGGUUCAAUAGUGAAAGACGGUUUUGCUGUCACUUAUAGAUGGAUCCGCGCCGCAUUAGCUAGUUGGUAAGGUAACGGCUUACCAAGGCAACGAUGCGUAGCCGACCUGAGAGGGUGAUCGGCCACACUGGAACUGAGACACGGUCCAGACUCCUACGGGAGGCAGCAGUAGGGAAUCUUCCGCAAUGGGCGAAAGCCUGACGGAGCAACGCCGCGUGAGUGAUGAAGGUCUUCGGAUCGUAAAACUCUGUUAUUAGGGAAGAACAAAUGUGUAAGUAACUAUGCACGUCUUGACGGUACCUAAUCAGAAAGCCACGGCUAACUACGU
rnacentral:rRNA from 1 species